GCCUGGGUGGCUCAGUUGGUUGAGCAUCUGACUUCAGCUCAGGUCACGAUUUCACUGUCCGUGAGUUCGAGCCCCGCAUUGGGCU
rfam:Felis catus isolate Cinnamon breed Abyssinian chromosome D1, whole genome shotgun sequence.